rnacentral:rRNA from 1 species
UACAGAGGUCUCAAGCGUUGUUCGGAUUCAUUGGGCGUAAAGGGUGCGUAGGCGGCGCGGUAAGUCGGGUGUGAAAUCUCGGGGCUUAACUCCGAAACUGCAUUCGAUACUGCCGUGCUUGAGGACUGGAGAGGAGACUGGAAUUUACGGUGUAGCGGUGAAAUGCGUAGAUAUCUGCAGGAACACCCGUGGCGAAAGCGGCGCGCUGGACCACUACUGACGCUGAGGAACGAAAGCUAGGGGGAGCAAACAGG